rnacentral:lncRNA from 1 species
GCGGGGCUGCGCCCACCCUGCCCGGCCGCUCCGGACCUGCGGCUCCUCAGCAUCCCAAAUCCCCCCACUCUAAUUUAUUUAUCUCCCCCCAAAAACAAACAAACAAAAAGUUUAAGAUCCUUUUUCUGUUUAGAAAUUAAUUGGCAAGGAACCGCCUUUCUGGUGCUGGGACAGAGAAAACACUGCGAAAGUCCCCAAGCGGAGCCCCCCGGCGGUCCCUCCCUGCCGGACCCGAGGCCGUACGGGGGCGAUGCCCGCAGCCCGGCCCCAUUUGUCCCGCUGCCCUACAGCCCCGUAGGGAACCGCGGAGGCAAAGCCACGCAAAGUGCUCCCUUCCCCGAAAAGUUGCGGGUGGGACACCGGCAGCGGGCUGGAGGGGGGACGUGGAAACCGGGGGGAGGAGGGGGGGAACUGGAUAAAAUGCCCCUUCGUGUUAUUAUUGCAGGCGCUCCGGGGCUCAGUUUUGUGCGGCAAUGCGAGGAAAGGCCGCCUGGUCUGCAUUUUCCCCCCGAGCUUUGGAGGGCAUUUAACUCCCCGGUACGGCACCGCCUGGGAUCGGUGCACGUCGGUGGACCUGUGGGCAGGACGCGGAGCAGCACUCCAGAAGGUAUCCAAAAUGGGAAACAUCAUCUAGCCCUUCAUGCUUGAUCUGAAGGGAACUGGAAAAAACAUCCAGCUCAAUGAGAAGCCAAGUGUCCGUGUAUUUGGCCAGACAGAGAGCGAGCUUCCAGCAGGACCAACUACACCUCCAAAAUCUUACCUGCGGUGCAGUAAGAUUGUUUUUCAUGCUCCCAUGGAUGAUACUGCAAGCUCUGGGACAUCCUCAUCCCCC